AGGGGCCAUCCUUUUUCGGCUUCUAAAUUUUCUUUUGCUAAAGCUCCAAUGUCUACACCGCCAGGAUUUUCACUUCCAAGCAGAGCAGUACCACCAGGGUUUCCUACUAAUGGGGCAGUGAACUAUGAUGCAAACCAUUUGCUACAAAAUUCUGCACCAUUAUCUAGGAAUGCUGGCAUCUCCAUUGAUGUUGAAUUCAUGGAUCCUGCAAUAAUGGAAGCUGGUAACGGGAUACAGGCAUUGUGGCUGAAUGAUCCAGGCUUUGACAUGAGGCCACCUUUAUCACCACCUCUAGGUACUUUUAAUCAUGAUACUGAGCUUCCGAUGGUGAAUCAGCAACCUAUAUCUGUUAAACAGAACCCUUGGUCCCUGGAUCACUUCAGGAAUAGAUUCUCUCCCCCAGAUGAUGCUUACAAUAUUUCAUCAAUGCUUCUGGGGCAAUCCCCACCCAACAAUCCAUCUCCAUUUGCACAAUUGACAGCUCAACAGGUUGGGAAUUUGCACGUGUCCCAUGGCUGUUGGGGUGGUUGGGACGAAAUCAAGAGUGUUGGUAAUCUAGGUAUGUCUGAAUUGUUAAUGAAUGGAAAGCUGGGAUUCAACAAAGUUAUUCAGAGUCAUGAGGAUUUGAAGUAUCAGAUGUCUGGUUCUAGCAAUCUAUACAACGGAGGAUUUGCAUUGUAAUUUUUGUUGAAAUUGGAAUUAUUCCUCCUUGAUCCUUGAAUAGACCAAAGAAUGUGGCUGGAAGACUUGGGUGUGAGCUGCUGCCCUUGAUUUGAAUGAGGUUGAGUCUCUUGACUUUUGUGCACAUUGGUUUGUUUGCAAACACCAGAGUUGAAGGUGGGUCCAAGGGAUUGGUUAGCGUAGAGUGGCAGGUCAAAGGAUUACAUGGUUGUUUCUCUCACACCGAGUGGCAGGCUCAAAGGAUUGACACGGUUGUUCCUCUCACCCUUCCAUGGUAAGCUGGAGCGAGAAUUUUGUUAUAGGCAAAGGGUGUCCUAGCCACUGGUUGAACGGAGAAUAGAAAAUUAGAGAUCUAGAGUUCAAUGCUGGACAAAUUGGCUACGUCAAACCCUUGUUAAAUGCCAAAAUUUCACCUAGAUAUAGGAACCUAUUGGUGUUUGUAGAAAAGAAAGAUUGCAUGAAUGGGUUUCUUGAGACAUGAACAUCUAGCCCAUCUAUUAGGACUUGCUUUGAUUCAAUGAUUAAGCUUUUUUUUUUUUUUUUUUUAAAAAAAU
rnacentral:misc_RNA from 1 species